UCAGAGUUUUUGGUGUUGAACUUAAUCUGUAGAUUAAAAAAACACAGAAAUAAAGAUUAAAAAAAAAAAAAAAAAAAAAAUCUGUCAGAGCGAAAUCAAAACAAACAAAAAUACUUCGCAAAUCAGUUCAUUUUGGUUUCGCAAAUUAGUUUGCAAAUAACAAAACGUUUCAAAUCUAACUUUUUUAAAUAAUAGUGCUAGUAAUAGUUCGGAGCAGCAAAUGUUUCUUUCGCUCCUAUGUUAAUACCAGCCGUGAUCAACACACCUUUGGAAAGAAGUGACAAGCAAACAUCCCAGGCUAGCGAAUAGUGUUAAAGUCAACCGAAAUAUGUGUGCGAUAGUGACGUUGAUUGUACCAACUUUAUCAGAAUAAAUUGAUUUCCGAACAGACAGCGAUGUGACAGUUUUGGACUGAAUGACGGAGCAGACGAAAUUUAACCAACAAAGUGUAUUCCGCGGGACCCUACACCAAGGCAGGCGAUACCAGUUCCAUGGGAAGAAUAAUAAAUGAAUGUUGACGGAAGGAUGUCGUCAAACAAUGUGGAUUGCGAUUGUAAAAAGAAACGGGACCACAUGAUGAGAUGGUGGCGAGCCACAGUAAGACUCCGGGAUCUGUGCGACUCUUCUAGUGUUGUGGGACAACGCUAUUGCGGUCGGUCCGUGUUACA